GGGGGGGAGUGGUCGAAGGUGGGACUGGCGAUUGGGACGAAGUCGUAACAAGGUAGCCGUACCGGAAGGUGCGGCUGGAUCACCUCCUUUCUAAGGAGCA
rnacentral:rRNA from 1 species